GCCGGGCAUGGUGGCUCACAGCUACCGUCCCAGCUACUCAGGGGGCUGAGGUGGGAGGAUCGCUUAAGCCCAAGAGUUCUGGGUUGCAGUAUACUAUGCAGAUAGAUCAGGUGUUUGCAUGAAGUUUGGCAUCAAUAUGGUGAUCUCCUGGGAGUGGGGGACCACCAGGUUGCCUAAGGAGCGGCAAACUGACUUAAGUUGGAAAUGGAGCAGGACAGAACUCCUAUGCUGAUCAUAGGAGUUUUGUCCUGCUCCCAGUAUGCUUCAGUAAUCUCCUAACUGC
rnacentral:SRP_RNA from 1 species